GACGAACGCUGGCGGCGUGCCUAACACAUGCAAGUUGAGCGACGAACCAGGGCUUGCCCUGGGGCAAAGCAGCGAACGGGUGAGUAACACGUGGGUAACCUACCCCGAUAACCGGGACAACCCGAGGAAACUCGGGCUAAUACCGGAUGUGCUCACUGGACUUCGGUUCAGUGCGUAAAGGAAGCUUCGGCCUCCGUAUCGGGAGGGGCCCGCGGCCCAUUAGUUUGUCGGUGAGGUAACGGCUCACCAAGACCGCGAUGGGUAGCUGGUCUGAGAGGACGAUCAGCCACACUGGGACUGAGACACGGCCCAGACUCCUACGGGAGGCAGCAGUGGGGAAUCUUGCGCAAUGCGCGAAAGCGUGACGCAGCAACGCCGCGUGGGGGAAGAAGGCCUUCGGGUUGUAAACCCCUUUCAGGAGGGACGAAGGUUCGGCGGUGAAUAGCCGUCCGGACUGACGGUACCUCCACAAGAAGCCCCGGCUAACUACGUG
rnacentral:rRNA from 1 species